CUUGCUUCUUUGCUGACGAGUGGCGGACGGGUGAGUAAUGUCUGGGAAACUGCCUGAUGGAGGGGGAUAACUACUGGAAACGGUAGCUAAUACCGCAUAACGUCGCAAGACCAAAGAGGGGGACCUUCGGGCCUCUUGCCAUCGGAUGUGCCCAGAUGGGAUUAGCUAGUAGGUGGGGUAACGGCUCACCUAGGCGACGAUCCCUAGCUGGUCUGAGAGGAUGACCAGCCACACUGGAACUGAGACACGGUCCAGACUCCUACGGGAGGCAGCAGUGGGGAAUAUUGCACAAUGGGCGCAAGCCUGAUGCAGCCAUGCCGCGUGUAUGAAGAGGGCCUUAGGGUUGUAAAGUACUUUCAACGGGGAGGAAGGGAGUAAAGUUAAUACCUUUGCUCAUUGACGUUACCCGCAGAAGAAGCACCGGCUAACUCCGUGCCAGCAGCCGCGGUAAUACGGAGGGUGCAAGCGUUAAUCGGAAUUACUGGGCGUAAAGCGCACGCAGGCGGUUUGUUAAGUCAGAUGUGAAAUCCCCGGGCUCAACCUGGGAACUGCAUCUGAUACUGGCAAGCUUGAGUCUCGUAGAGGGGGGUAGAAUUCCAGGUGUAGCGGUGAAAUGCGUAGAGAUCUGGAGGAAUACCGGUGGCGAAGG
rnacentral:rRNA from 1 species